GGGGGUGACAUUGGCUUCGACGGGGUUAUAAGUUCUUUGAACUGCACACCGUGUUCUCCGUAGACACGUUAAACGACGGUAAAAAAAGUAAAUGGCGAAUAUAAUUACGCUCUCGCUGCGUAAAUAAACGCAGCCGUUCUUCAAUUCUACUCACGCUGGGGGUUGAAAGAACGUCGCACAGUGUGAUAGCCGAAUCGAAUGUCCGGAUAGAUGAGGCGAAACUUUCUCCGGAAUAGUUCCGGCAUAAUCUGUUUGCCGAUGCUGUCGGAAUGAAAUUAAAAGACAAACUAUGUGUGUAGAAGUUCCUGGAAAUGUAGCUUCGGACCCGGGUUCGACUCCCGGCACCUCCACCA
rnacentral:tmRNA from 1 species